rnacentral:misc_RNA from 1 species
GAUGAAGAACGUAGUGAAAUGCGAUACGUAGUGUGAAUUGCAGAAUUCAGUGAAUCAUCGAAUCUUUGAACGCACAUUGCACCUCUCGGUAUUCCGGGAGGUAUGCCUGUUCGAGCGUCAUUUGUACCCUCAAGCUCUGCUUGGUGUUGGGUGUUUGUUCCGCCUCUGUGUGUGAACUCGCCUCAAAACAAUUGGCAGCCGGCGUACUUGUUUCGGAGCGCAGCACAUUUUGCGAUCCAGAUCAACGUACAGCGGCAUCCAAGAAGCCUUAUUUAACGCUCUUGACCUCGAAUCAGGUAGGGAUACCCGCUGAACUUAAGCAUAUCAAUAAGCGGAGGA